CUGUCGGCGUGCUUAACACAUGCAAGUCGAACGGAAAGGCCCUGCUUUUGUGGGGUGCUCGAGUGGCGAACGGGUGAGUAACACGUGAGUAACCUGCCCUUGACUUUGGGAUAACUUCAGGAAACUGGGGCUAAUACCGGAUAGGAGCUCCUGCUGCAUGGUGGGGGUUGGAAAGUUUCGGCGGUUGGGGAUGGACUCGCGGCUUAUCAGCUUGUUGGUGGGGUAGUGGCUUACCAAGGCUUUGACGGGUAGCCGGCCUGAGAGGGUGACCGGCCACAUUGGGACUGAGAUACGGCCCAGACUCCUACGGGAAGCAGCAGUGGGGAAUAUUGCACAAUGGGCGGAAGCCUGAUGCAGCAACGCCGCGUGCGGGAUGACGGCCUUCGGGUUGUAAACCGCUUUCGCCUGUGACGAAGCGUGAGUGACGGUAAUGGGUAAAGAAGCACCGGCUAACUACGUGCCAGCAGCCGCGGUGAUACGUAGGGUGCGAGCGUUGUCCGGAUUUAUUGGGCGUAAAGGGCUCGUAGGUGGUUGAUCGCGUCGGAAGCGUAAUCUUGGGGCUUAACCCUGAGCGUGCUUUCGAUACGGGUUGACUUGAGGAAGGUAGGGGAGAAUGGAAUUCCUGGUGGAGCGGUGGAAUGCGCAGAUAUCAGGAGGAACACCAGUGGCGAAGGCGGUUCUCUGGGCCUUUCCUGACGCUGAGGAGCGAAAGCGUGGGGAGCGAACAGGCUUAGAUACCCUGGUAGUCCACGCUGUAAACGGUGGGUACUAGGUGUGGGGUCCAUUCCACGGGUUCCGUGCCGUAGCUAACGCUUUAAGUACCCCGCCUGGGGAGUACGGCCGCAAGGCUAAAACUCAAAGGAAUUGACGGGGCCCCGCACAAGCGGCGGAGCAUGCGGAUUAAUUCGAUGCAACGCGUAGAACCUUACCUGGGUUUGACAUGGAUCGGGAGUGCUCAGAGAUGGGUGUGCCUCUUUUGGGUCGGUUCACAGGUGGUGCAUGGCUGUCGUCAGCUCGUGUCGUGAGAUGUUGGGUUAAGUCCCGCAACGAGCGCAACCCUUGUUCACUGUUGCCAGCACGUUAUGGUGGGGACUCAGUGGAGACCGCCGGGGUCAACUCGGAGGAAGGUGGGGAUGACGUCAAGUCAUCAUGCCCCUUAUGUCCAGGGCUUCACGCAUGCUACAAUGGCUGGUACAGAGAGUGGCGAGCCUGUGAGGGUGAGCGAAUCUCGGAAAGCCGGUCUCAGUUCGGAUUGGGGUCUGCAACUCGACCUCAUGAAGUCGGAGUCGCUAGUAAUCGCAGAUCAGCAACGCUGCGGUGAAUACGUUCCCGGGGCUUGUACACACCGCCCGUCAAGUCAUGAAAGUUGGUAACACCCGAAGCCGGUGGCCUAACCGUUGUGGGGGAGCCGUCGAAGGUGGGACUGGUGAUUAGGAC
rnacentral:rRNA from 1 species